GCCUGAUUUCCGCCUGGAAACAUAGUAUAACCAAGCCUGACCCUCUGUAUAUGUUUUGUAAACAUUAUGCGCGGGGUCUGUUAGAGAUUAAAAUGUAAAAAAAAAAAAAAUUGAGUUGACAACAUAUUUACCAUGCAUGUUAUAUCAGCUCACCAAAGGAUGAUGACGUUGAUGAGUUUCAACUGAUGUCUGCUGAAGUCUAGCCUCAAACCUCCCAUCAGAUUAUCUGAGGAUGACAACGAGGAAGAGGAAGGUGACCUCUUGAAUAUUAAUUAUAAUGAUUCAUAUUUAACAGUAAUGUUUAAAAAUAAUGUUAUUUUUAUUUAUUUAUUUUUUAGAAUAAUAAACAACAGCCUUUUUACUUACCAUAAUUGUUUAUCAAAUUAAUCUUCCUGGAUUUUGCUUAACAUAAAUGGGCUUCAUGUUUUUUGAUUAAAAAAUAUCUUUGUCGACUUCACUUACACGCACCCCCCCCCCCCCCCCCCCACACACACAAAUAAUUCAACAUAAAGUGAAGGCAGUCUUUUUUGACCUGAUUUAUCUAAAUUUUGAUUGCAAAGCCUAAUUUGUAUGAUGUACAUUGCUUGUACACUGUGCUGCGACCCAUUUUUCAAACUUGUUUUUUUUUUUAAGCUAGAUAACUUUGUGGACAGAAAAGAGUUUGCAACAUGCCUUGAUAUUUUAUCUUUUGCUGACACAAACUCAAAAGAGUGACCUUAUUUCCAGUUUAAAAACAUGGAUCUCUUGGUUCUUCCAUUGUUGUUUGUGUUGCUGGUUCCAUUGAUAUGGACACGUGAGUAGUCCACGUGCUGUGACUUGGCGCAUUUGACAUCGAUCAAAAUAGACAGCAUCCUGUAAUGCAUCACCGUUAAAGAUUUAAAUGCUGCAGUUUCCUUUAUUUCAUGUUGUAUGUUGUUUGUAGUGGACACUAAUAAGGAGUAGUGUGAUAUAAAUUUGAUCAUCACCUGUAUUUAAAUAUUAGUUAACAAUUAGUUGUGUUGCAUGUCCAUGCGUGAGUGAUCACUGUGACUGAAGAAUGUGGUCUUCGUUCACCUGUUGUCCAAUCUCAUUUGCUUCUGUAAUCCAACAGUGGUGACCAGGGGUGAAAGUGGGCCAGAACGGUCAGGAACGCAGUUCCGGAAUAAGAUUCAGGACCAGAACGCAGUUCCGGUGUAAGAUUCAGGGCCGGAAUGCUGUUCCGGUAUAAGAUUCAGAGCCGGAAUGCUGUCCGGUACACGGUGCUUUGAUUCCGAAAAAUAUGACGGCAACUGUCAAAACGCUAUGUAAAAAAAAAAAAAAAAAGGUUGUUGAAUAAAUGCGACAAAAAGGGCAAUGUAACAUACAGUAUAUGGAUCAAAUCUUUAAGAGGAACGAAAGAGUUGAGGAGGUUUAUUUUUUCAUAUUUAGUUUUAUUUGCUCUGAUGGGGAGGUUCAGAACAUCUUAGCUGUCAAUAUGCACUUUGGACUUAUAUUUGUUCAUUUAUGUUAGGCUACUUAUUCCUUUCCUUAUGAUUUAAAAAAGUCUAUGUUUGUGUGAUCUUCAAAAUAUAUUCCAUUUCACUCUGCAUAAUAUACAGUAAGUCAUUUGUACUUAUUUUUCUGAAUGUAUGUUACUUAUAUCUUUAUUAUUUAAAAAAAAAAAAAAAAGUAAAUGUUUACAUAAACUUCAAAUGUAUUAUACAUUAUAUAUUUGGCAUGAUUUGGCAUUUAGUAUGUGAGGAAAUGAGGGAAAAUAAAAAUUAGGAGAUGAAGGUUGGGGUUAUUGGUGUUUUUGUUAACUUUUAUUUUGCAAAUCAUUGAAAAAAUACAAUUUUGAAUGAAAAUCAGUCUUUGUAUGUGUUAUAGAAAAAAAAAAUGUGCUAAAACAGUUUUCUUUGCAUUUCAGUAGUUUAAGAGGUUUGACCCACCCCCCAAAAAAUGAAAGAAAAAAAUUAAAUAAAAUACAGUUUCUGACUCCGUUACGACCGUCACGUCAGGGAGUUCCGGCAAGAAAUUCUAGCCACUUUCACCCCUGGUGGUGACUACAACAGUCUAUUCCGAAAUAAAUUACUGUAUUUUAUUGUUAAAUUCUUGUGCAUUCUGCAGGUCCAUGUGGUUAACUAGCAGUAAUUUAUAGUAAAUUUGCAGAGUUAAUGUAGUCCAGGCUAAAUCCUUCUAAGCCCAAAUACCACAGAUAUCAGAAUUUAUUAUGCAAUGUAAACAGUACAGUUCCAUUGUUUUGGUCCUUACGUGACCCAAGUCUUGUUCAGUCAAGUGCUCCACGUUUCAAUCGUUUGAUUUUUGUCAUCGAAAGACAAAAAAUUGUUCAACAAAAAUGACAGGCUUGAAAAACAAAUCAGCACAGAAAAGAACUGCGAGAGGACUGGAGAUACUCUGCUUUGGCUGGAUGUUUUUUCUUGCUGAGAGGCCAUUGCCAAGAUGGGCAAAGCUUGGAGGGACUGCCGACUCGGUUGCAGGCUUUGUUGGGAGACCUCCGAGACAGUUCUAGGACAAAUUCUUGAAAAUACCAGAAAUUCAUACUCAUUAGCAAGGACGUAGGUUUGGUCACAACAUUGGUAGGAACGAAAUAAUGACAUAACCUUUUUACUGGGGAUGGGACAUUUAUAAGACCAAACAGACUGGGUGAACGGGGGUCAGGGCUACAUUUCUCACCAAUGUGAACCGAAUAAAUUUUAGGCUAAAUAAUCAAUGCAAAAUAAAUCUAUAUUGAAUUAUACUAACUUUCAUGUGUAUUGCUUCAGGUGAUACGCCGUUCGAUUCAAAUCUUUGUUUUCAAAAACUACAAAAAAAAAACAAUUUGAAAACUUCCAGAAUAAAUGUCUUGAUUUUAUUAGCAAAUUUAAAUUGAAAUAUUUGAACACAAAUUAUAUUAACAUACACAAUAAAUACAAACUAGUUGAUCAUCAAUUAAUGGCGGUAAUCCUGAGCUCACGACAUUUCUUACAGUUUAAUUAACGUUAACAGUAAAAAACAUACAGGAGGCUAUUUCUCUCAACGCAGCAGAUUAAUGUUAUGUUAACUCUGAUGCAGGUCGGACUUUCAGUAGCAAAAUUAGUGGUGUGUUCCCCACCUCCAAAACAUUGACGUCUUUUUACAUUACUUUAGUGCUGCAACGAUUAAUCUAUUAACUCGAGUAUUCGAUUAGAAAAAAAUAUUCGAAUUAAAUUUUGCUGCAUCGAGUAUUCGUUUAUUUAAAGUGACGUUGUAAUGCUUUAUCUUGAAAGUGUUUGCAUUUAGUUUUAUUGAUUUGGGUGGAUACACUGCCUUCUAGUCCCCCUCAAUUCACAUGGCUGAAUCCAGGUGCUCCCUGCCAAGACCAACAUAAGCUAAAUUUUGUUUAAGCUACUGGUUUCUUUUGCAUUUGCAUUUUUAUGCGUUUGUAAUUUAGUUUAUAGGUAUAUAUAGCCUAUUUUUGUGGGAAUAUGUGUCUGAACCAUUUGUUAAGAGCAUUGUAAAAAAGUUAGCAUUAGCAAGUUAGCACCAAUUUUUCUUUUGUUGUACAUAGAUCAUUUAUUUUUUAUACCGUUUGAGGCUCAGCUCAGGUAAUUAAAUUUUUCAUAUUCUUUAUCCGACUACUCGAUUAUUCGAACUAAUGGUUUAUCGAUUAAUCGACUACUAAAAUAAUCGAUAGCUGCAGCCCUACAUUACUUACAGUGGCUGCUGCUGGUGGAAAAAAACUUCUAAUACUCCUCGUCUUCGAAUGGCGCGGAGGAGGCUGCAUGUGUUAUUUCUGUCGGGCUGUGAAUGCGUGUGUGGGGGAGGGUCAAGUCAUCAGUCAAUCAAACGUGUGUUUGAGGGGAAAAAAUGGACUGGCACAUUCAGCAAGUGAAAAGGGGUCAAUGUAAGUUUGGACAUAAUGAAAGUACUGUAAUUCACUUAAUAAUGGUCAGGUCAUUUCUAUCCUUAUAACAUACAGUAUGUGAAGAAAAUCUAAGUUACCGAUAUAACUGAAGUAAUUAUAUAAUACAAAUAAGGUUGCUUAAAAGUUGGUGGGGACAGUUUGAGCAUCCUGAAAAGUUGGUAGUGUUAUGUCCCUACCGUCCCUAUGCAAACCUAUGCCUUUGCUCACUAGACACACACGUGGGGCCAUACUGACUUCCGUAGACGUUGAACCACAUCUCAUUGUUUUGUACCCAUACAUUCCAGUUGACCUUGUGUCUUUUGCACGUGCGUGACAAGGCGGACGCAUCGUUUUUGUAUUAGGAAUAGCUUUUGUUUUUGUUGUGUGAAUGACUACAUGAAAAAAAAUGGAUUUCACAAAAAAAAAAAAAAAUUGAGCAUCAUGUGUUGCACCAUGGACCAUAAGAGAAGUAGUCCUUUUGGUUUCAGUAACACGUAUACUUUGUAAUGCUUUAUCGCUGUUAAGUAAGUAAGUGUGCACAACAUUUUAAGCAAAGUAAAUGGAGUACAUGCAUAAUACUGUUUAUGGAAUAACGAGACAGACAGAUAGAAAUUGAGUGUGUGUGAGUGUGUGCAUUUUCACUGUUGUGUCAGUAGAAUUUUGUUCUUUACACUGGCCCCUCCUCUGUCCAGUCAGCCAUAAUGAUGUCCGAUCCUCCCCGUAGGCCGCCAGAGAGGCCAGGUACCGCCUUCUCCUGCCCCCCCAUUCCCAUUCUCUCUCUCUCUAAGACAGCUAGAGAAGGAGAGUGAAAGUGAAGAGGCAGGCAGGCAUGUUGAAACAGAUGGCCUUACCAGCAGCAGUGGAGGAGCUCUGGUUAAGCAGUCGGCAAGUGAGACAGAGGAGAGUGAGGGAGGUGUGAGAAGACUUGGACAUAGCUAGAAAGAAAAUAAGCAGAGUUGGACCUCCCCCCUUUUCUCACAACGUUUCCUUUGCGGACAGGAAGGCCCGAGGAACUGACAACUUUCCUUGUUCUCCUCAGGGGAUCAACGAGAGAACACCUGCCGCCAGAGAGGAGGUUUCCUAGGGAAGAGACACACCAGCAUUCAAAGGUGAUUGUUUGUGUUUGCGUAGCAUCGGCUUCCUCAGUUGUGAAGCAAACAUUGGAGGUUUUUCGUAGGCAACAAUGCUCGGACUCCUCUUCUUCCUGCUGGCAUCUGUGACGUGUGGACAUGCUCACUCCCUGACCGGUGGUCAGCGCUUGAAGACCCGCCUCCAGAGAGACAGGCGGAACAUCCGUCCAAACAUCAUCCUGGUCCUCACGGAUGACCAGGACCUGGAGCUGGGUUCAAUGCAGGCAAUGAAUAAGACACGUCGCAUCAUGGAGGAGGGUGGGACUUCUUUUUCCAACGCGUUUGUGACGACGCCCAUGUGCUGUCCGUCACGUUCAAGCAUGCUCACUGGGAAGUAUGUUCACAAUCAUAACACAUACACCAAUAAUGAGAACUGUUCGUCGAUUUCUUGGCAGCGGCUGCAGGAACCACGAACCUUCGCAGUCUACUUGAACAAUACAGGCUACAGGACGGCCUUCUUCGGUAAGUACCUGAACGAGUACAAUGGCUCUUACGUGCCCGCCGGAUGGAAGGAGUGGCUUGGCCUUGUCAAGAACAGUCGAUUCUACAACUACACGCUGAGUCGUAACGGACUCAGAGAGAAACACGGAGCACAGUACCCUCAGGACUAUUUAACAGACGUGAUCACAGCAGAGGCCAUACAUUACUUCUGCUCGUCAAAGCGAGUUUAUCCUCAUCGUCCUGUCAUGAUGGUUCUGAGUCAUGCUGCACCACACGGACCUGAGGACUCAGCACCACAGUACAGCCAUGCCUUUCCCAAUGCAUCGCAACACAUUACUCCUAGUUACAACUAUGCUCCCAACCCAGAUAAGCACUGGAUCAUGCGUUACACAGGCGCUAUGAAACCUAUACACAUGGAGUUCACCAAUAUGCUGCAGAGGAAACGACUGCAGACACUGCUGUCAGUUGAUGACAGCAUGGAGAAGCUGUACAACAUGUUGGUGAAGACAAACGAGUUGGAGAACACCUACAUCAUCUACACAUCUGAUCAUGGCUACCACAUUGGACAGUUUGGCCUCGUCAAAGGAAAAUCCAUGCCUUAUGAUUUUGAUAUCCGAGUCCCUUUUUAUAUCCGAGGACCCAACGUGGCACAAGACAGCAUCAACCCCCACAUUGUCCUCAACAUUGACCUGGCACCCACCAUCCUGGACAUCGCUGGCCUGGACACGCCCGCCGACAUGGAUGGCAAGUCCAUCCUGGGCCUGCUGGAUACUGAUUCACCUGCCAACAGGUUCCAGGUGACAAGGAAGUCAAAAGUGUGGCGAGACUCCUUUCUGGUGGAAAGAGGGUAAAUACUGAAGGCCCUGUCCACAUACGACAUCACCACCAGUGUGAGCCAAUGAAAGCUACUGCAUCAACGUAUGGAGAUGAAGGAUGUAUCGCAGGAGGAGAACUUCCUGCCAAAAUAUCAGCAGGUCACAGAGUUGUGUCAGCGCUCCGAGUAUCAGACGCCAUGUCAACAAAUCGGACAG